rnacentral:rRNA from 1 species
CUUGGUCAUUUAGAGGAAGUAAAAGUCGUAACAAGGUUUCCGUAGGUGAACCUGCGGAAGGAUCAUUCAUAAUAAAGUGUUUUAUGGCACUUUUUUAAAAAAUCCAUAUCCACCUUGUGUGCAAUGUUUUUUAGAUCUAGCCAAAAUGAUAUUUUGGUUAGGUUUUAUUAUAUUACAUCAACUCUUAUUUAACUUGAUUUGUCUGAAAAAUAUUAUGAAUUUUUUAACUUAAUUCAAAAUACAACUUUCAACAACGGAUCUCUUGGCUCUCGCAUCGAUGAAGAACGCAGCGAAAUGCGAUACGUAAUGUGAAUUGCAGAAUUCAGUGAAUCAUCGAAUCUUUGAACGCACAUUGCGCCCGCUAGUAUUCUGGCGGGCAUGCCUGCUCGAGCGUCAUUUCAACCAUCAAGCCCCAGGCUUGUGUUGGGGACCUGCGGCCGCCGCAGCCCCCUAAAAGCAGUGGCGGUCUCGCUGUCAUACCGAGCGCAGUAGUUUAUCUUCGCUUUGGGCAUGGUGGCGAGUGCCGGCCGUGAAACACUUUUCUAAGGUUGACCUCGGAUCAGGUAGGAGUACCCGCUGAACUUAAGCAUAUCAAUAAGCGGAGGA